ACGUGAAAAACACGGUCACAAGCAAUAGGCAGAUACCUCGUCCUGGUUUUGAAUUGCUGCCGUUGCGCUUCCGAGUUCGUCCUAAUUCCGAAAACAAAUUGCCACCAUCUUCCAACAGUCCUGAUCUAGCCAUCUAGGCUGAUCCAGGUAUAUCUCUAACCCUGCAAAACCUACUGAUUACUCUCCGAAGCCUUCAAUCCUUAAAAUUGCUGUCGUCUCUACUUAGAACACCUUUCACCGGUGAAGCUGGAAAAAUCGUCAGUAAUAUCCCUCCACUCUGUAGAAGCACAGAGAACUGUCGACUCUAGAGCGAUCAAAAACGAGUAUGAAGCACUUGAAUUGCAGAAGUAUCGAUGGUGGGAACACAAGGCCAAUUUAUGACGCAACCGCACUAACUCUGAGGGCAAAAUCUAUGAGUGACGAGAUGGAGUAGGAUCCGGAAAAUUGAAGAAUUUUCGGUUUGGGUCGAAUUAG
rnacentral:lncRNA from 1 species